CAUAGGUUAAUGAGGCGAACCGGGGGAACUGAAACAUCUAAGUACCCCGAGGAAAAGAAAUCAACCGAGAUUCCCCCAGUAGCGGCGAGCGAACGGGGAGGAGCCCAGAGCCUGAAUCAGUGUGUGUGUUAGUGGAAGCGUCUGGAAAGGCGCGCGAUACAGGGUGACAGCCCCGUACACAAAAAUGCACAUACUGUGAGCUCGAUGAGUAGGGCGGGACACGUGGUAUCCUGUCUGAAUAUGGGGGGACCAUCCUCCAAGGCUAAAUACUCCUGACUGACCGAUAGUGAACCAGUACCGUGAGGGAAAGGCGAAAAGAACCCCGGCGAGGGGAGUGAAAAAGAACCUGAAACCGUGUACGUACAAGCAGUGGGAGCCUCUUUAUGGGGUGACUGCGUACCUUUUGUAUAAUGGGUCAGCGACUUAUAUUCUGUAGCAAGGUUAACCGAAUAGGGGAGCCGAAGGGAAACCGAGUCUUAACUGGGCGUUAAGUUGCAGGGUAUAGACCCGAAACCCGGUGAUCUAGCCAUGGGCAGGUUGAAGGUUGGGUAACACUAACUGGAGGACCGAACCGACUAAUGUUGAAAAAUUAGCGGAUGACUUGUGGCUGGGGGUGAAAGGCCAAUCAAACCGGGAGAUAGCUGGUUCUCCCCGAAAGCUAUUUAGGUAGCGCCUCGUGAAUUCAUCUCCGGGGGUAGAGCACUGUUUCGGCAAGGGGGUCAUCCCGACUUACCAACCCGAUGCAAACUGCGAAUACCGGAGAAUGUUAUCACGGGAGACACACGGCGGGUGCUAACGUCCGUCGUGAAGAGGGAAACAACCCAGACCGCCAGCUAAGGUCCCAAAGUCAUGGUUAAGUGGGAAACGAUGUGGGAAGGCCCAGACAGCCAGGAUGUUGGCUUAGAAGCAGCCAUCAUUUAAAGAAAGCGUAAUAGCUCACUGGUCGAGUCGGCCUGCGCGGAAGAUGUAACGGGGCUAAACCAUGCACCGAAGCUGCGGCAGCGACACUAUGUGUUGUUGGGUAGGGGAGCGUUCUGUAAGCCUGUGAAGGUGUACUGUGAGGUAUGCUGGAGGUAUCAGAAGU
rnacentral:rRNA from 1 species